CGCGCUAGCGCGCUACGGCUUACGCAGUUGAUCGGAUCAGAUAGCCCUUCGGGCAACCAACCAAACCCGGCACAUCAAAUUCCAUUCCGAUCAACAACUUGAAGGUAUGGCUGAGUGGCUUAAGGCAUUGGUUUGCUAAAUCGACAUACAAGAAGAUUGUAUCAUGGGUUCAAAUCCCAUUUCCUCCGGAACAGAAGUGAAACGGGCGGGCG
rnacentral:tRNA from 1 species